rnacentral:rRNA from 1 species
UAUCUCUGUAGAGUCUGCAUAUCAAUAAGCGGAGGAAAAGAAACUAACUAGGAUUCCCUCAGUAACGGCGAGUGAAGCGGGAAGAGCUCAAAUUUGAAAUCUUCAAGGUUCUACCUUGACGAAUUGUAGUUUAAAGAAGUGUUUUCUGUUGGUGUUUUGGUAAAAGUUCUUUGGAAUAGGACAUCAUAGAGGGUGAGAAUCCCGUAUUUGACCAUUACUUCCAGCGUUGUGAUACACUUUCAAAGAGUCGGAUUGUUUGGGAAUGCAGUCCAAAAUGGGUGGUAAAUUUCAUCUAAAGCUAAAUAUUGGCGAGAGACCGAUAGCGAACAAGUACCGUGAGGGAAAGAUGAAAAGAACUUUGAAAAGAGAGUUAAACAGUACGUGAAAUUGUCAAAAGGGAAGCGUUUGACACCAGUGUUGUUUUCUCGAAAAUCAAUUAAAAAAAGUUGGAUUUUGUAUUGUUAAGACCUUAUCAGCUUAGCUGUACUCUUUUCUUGCUUUUUUUAAUGCACUUUUCGUUUAACAAGUCAACAUCAAUUUCUUUUGUUGUAAAAGAGUCAUUGGAAGGUGGCUUUCACUUCGGUGAAAGUGUUUAUAGCCUUUGGCUUCUGCAAUCGGAGAGAUUGAGGUCUGCAGCGUAGAUCCUUCGGGGCUAGAUACGUAGAUGCUAAGUUAUAGUUUUUUAUAGACAACUUGUUGACUAUAAUUAAUCAUGUAGCUUACUCGUUUGCGCUAUUUUACCUACGCUUAGGAUGUUGAUAGUCACAGCGUGUAC